rnacentral:rRNA from 1 species
UGGGGAAUAUUGGACAAUGGGCGAAAGCCUGAUCCAGCAAUGCCGCGUGAGUGAAGAAGGUCUUCGGAUUGUAAAGCUCUUUCGACGGGGACGAUGAUGACGGUACCCGUAGAAGAAGCCCCGGCUAACUUCGUGCCAGCAGCCGCGGUAAUACGAAGGGGGCUAGCGUUGCUCGGAAUGACUGGGCGUAAAGGGCGCGUAGGCGGUUUGUACAGUCAGAUGUGAAAUUCCUGGGCUCAACCUGGGGGCUGCAUUUGAUACGUAUGGACUGGAGUGAGGAAGAGGGUCGUGGAAUUCCCAGUGUAGAGGUGAAAUUCGUAGAUAUUGGGAAGAACACCGGUGGCGAAGGCGGCGACCUGGUCCUUUACUGACGCUGAGGCGCGAAAGCGUGGGGAGCAAACA